UGGGGGCUGACGAGGUCAAAACGUAGUCCGUUUCGCUACGACGUCGGGUAUAUGUUUUACUACGAAAACAUGGUGUAAAUACACUUCUUUCAUAGGCGAGUUUCAUAUUUUCUGGUGUUUAUGGAUUAGAGAACGGAACAUCCAGUAAUGGACAUAUCACAUGCAGUUUGCAGUUACUGCAGACUGCCAUUUCCCAGUGCAAAAGAUGCCAUGCUUCACUGUGCGCAUGAACAUCCAAACGAAAAGGUUGAACCCGGUGAAAGCCUGCAGAGUCCCGGCAGAGCCCCGGUAAACCGUCACUACGCCGGCACUCACCGGGGUUAUACCGGCAUCAGACCCCGGCAGAGCUGCGGCAACGCCCCGGUUUAACCGGGGACAACCGGUUCAUCCCGGAGAUAUUAAACAUUUUAAUACUUUCCCGGUGGAGCCCCGGUCGUCCACGGUUCAUCCCGGUGGAGCACCGGUUCAUCCCGGUAGGGCCCCGGCUCAUCCCGGUAGAUGCCUGAUCACGCACUGGGGCUCCGCCGGCAUCAUAGUGAGACUGGGCCUUAACCGCAUUGUAACACGAGGUAAAUUUACCGGCCGUCUCAUGUACGCAGUUAACAAUAACCUGUGACAGAAACCCACUGCCACACCUUUACAACAAUAUAUUGAUUAUGCAAUUGCGGAUUUGUGCCAUUGGGGUCCUACUUUCCACACCUUACGGCUGUUACAGGUGUGGAUUUUACAGGUACAAUCAUGUAUACAAACAUGAAAUUCACCUCAAAAUUAGUUGACGAUAACCGAUUUUCAAGAAAAUCGCUUUGAUAUAUACAAUGUUAAAAUCAAAAUCCGUAUGAGAUAAAUAAUGAUCGAAGUUGGGACAUGGGAUUUACUUUGACAUAAGCAGAGUUUCGAGAUAAGCGAGUUGGGGAUAACGAGAAUCGAAUGUUAUUUGAUAAAGAGUACCGUAUGCUGAAAACCUAUCGU